AGAGUUUGAUCAUGGCUCAGAUUGAACGCUGGCGGCAUGCCUUACACAUGCAAGUCGAACGGUAACGCGGGGCAACCUGGCGACGAGUGGCGAACGGGUGAGUAAUGCAUCGGAACGUGCCCAGUAGUGGGGGAUAGCCCGGCGAAAGCCGGAUUAAUACCGCAUACGACCUACGGGUGAAAGCGGGGGACCGUAAGGCCUCGCGCUAUUGGAGCGGCCGAUGUCAGAUUAGGUAGUUGGUGGGGUAAAGGCCCACCAAGCCUACGAUCUGUAGCUGGUCUGAGAGGACGACCAGCCACACUGGGACUGAGACACGGCCCAGACUCCUACGGGAGGCAGCAGUGGGGAAUUUUGGACAAUGGGGGCAACCCUGAUCCAGCCAUGCCGCGUGCGGGAAGAAGGCCUUCGGGUUGUAAACCGCUUUUGUCAGGGAAGAAAUCCUCUGAGAUAACACCUCGGGGGGAUGACGGUACCUGGAGAAUAAGCACCGGCUAACUACGUGCCAGCAGCCGCGGUAAUACGGAGGAUCCAAGCGUUAUCCGGAAUCAUUGGGUUUAAAGGGUCCGUAGGCGGUUUAGUAAGUCAGUGGUGAAAGCCCAUCGCUCAACGGUGGAACGGCCAUUGAUACUGCUAAACUUGAAUUAUUAGGAAGUAACUAGAAUAUGCAGUGUAGCGGUGAAAUGCUUAGAGAUUACAUGGAAUACCAAUUGCGAAGGCAGGUUACUACUAAUGGAUUGACGCUGAUGGACGAAAGCGUGGGUAGCGAACAGGAUUAGAUACCCUGGUAGUCC
rnacentral:rRNA from 1 species